rnacentral:rRNA from 1 species
GACAGAGGGUGCAAGCGUUGUUCGGAAUCACUGGGCGUAAAGCGCACGUAGGCGGCUAGGUAAGUCGACUGUGAAAUCCCAAGGCUCAACCUUGGAACUGCAGCCGAUACUGCCUAGCUUGAGUUCCGGAGAGGUUUGUGGAAUUCCUGGUGUAGAGGUGAAAUUCGUAGAUAUCAGGAGGAACACCGGCGGCGAAGGCGACCAACUGGACGGAAACUGACGCUGAGGUGCGAAAGCGUGGGGAGCAAACAGG